UUCCUUUAGAAGGUGUUGCUACCAUACAUAUUUUGAUAUCUUGUAACGAAUAAUGAAUGGUAAACCUUGUUGAGGAUGCUUUAAGUUGCUCUUGAUAGCUGUCUCAGGGAAUUGAAUUGGUAAAAUCUGUUUUGUUUUGUUUUGUUUUUCAAUACAGUUUCUAUCCUGGGUAAUGAAGGAAAGCCUUUACGUCUGACCAGCCCUGGGUGAUUGCUAUUUGGGAAAAUUUCCCAAUGUAAUCGAAUGGGAAAGAAUAAGAAGUCAGGGAACUGUGACCCACGCUGCGGAAAAAUUACUGUAUAAGUCCUGAAAUAUGUGCAUCUAUCUUUGAUUCAGGAAUGAAAGGAGACAAAGGGAAGCAUACAGUAGCGAUGGAGAAAAGUGUUAAUACAGCUAAGUAUUGAAAGCACUGCCCUGGCACCUUAUCUAAGGCAAGUAAUUUACUUUUGGUUCAAAUAAGAAUUACAGAUACAGAUUUGUUUCCUCAACUGGGAUGCCAACAGAGGUGCCUGCUGAGGGAGGAGCCUCUUACCAUGGAGAUCAGUUGGGAUUUGGACAACACUUUUUUUCCAAAUAGUUCCUAAUUGGAUGUGUUCAUCAUUAGCACUGCAUGUCUACUGAUUUUUUUUUUUUUGUCUAAUCC